AGCGAACGCUGGCGGCAGGCCUAACACAUGCAAGUCGAACGAACCCUUCGGGGUUAGUGGCGGACGGGUGAGUAACACGUGGGAACGUGCCUUUAGGUUCGGAAUAACUCAGGGAAACUUGUGCUAAUACCGAAUGUGCCCUUCGGGGGAAAGAUUUAUCGCCUUUAGAGCGGCCCGCGUCUGAUUAGCUAGUUGGUGAGGUAAUGGCUCACCAAGGCUACGAUCAGUAGCUGGUCUGAGAGGAUGACCAGCCACAUUGGGACUGAGACACGGCCCAAACUCCUACGGGAGGCAGCAGUGGGGAAUCUUGCGCAAUGGGCGAAAGCCUGACGCAGCCAUGCCGCGUGGAUGAUGAAGGUCUUAGGAUUGUAAAAUCCUUUCACCGGUGAAGACAAUGACUGUAGCCGGAGAAGAAGCCCCGGCUAACUUCGUGCCAGCCGCCGCGGUAAUAC
rnacentral:rRNA from 1 species